rnacentral:rRNA from 1 species
CCAAAUGGGUGGUAAACAUCACCUAAGGCUAAAUAUUGGCGAGAGACCGAUAGCGAACAAGUACCGUGAGGGAAAGAUGAAAAGAACUUUGAAAAGAGAGUUAAACAGUACGUGAAAUUGUUGAAAGGGAAACGAUUGAAGUCAGUCGUGCUGGCGCGAAAUCAACCUUCUCGUCUUGAGAUCACAUGGCGUGGCGAGCCUCAAGACCGUCACGAAGCGUGAACUCUUGGUGAAAUGGAGCACUUUCGUGUCCGCUGGUUAACAUCAAUCUCGAACGUCAUAAAAAGGCUGGAGGGAUGUGGCUCCUUCGGGAGUGUUAUAACCUUUAGCGGAAUGUGGUGUUCGGGAUUGAGGAUUGCAACGAAUACCUUUAGGGCUGUUCCACCUGGCUUCUCUUUGGUAUCCUGGUGACGACAGCUUGCUGACGUCGUUAGGAUUCGCCUU